GGACACCACCGGAGUCCGUUUUUAUGGACAGUGAUUGGGCUGGCCGCUCCGCGUGGUCUUCCUGUGGUUGUCCCGGAUCCUGAACAGCUUUUCUAGGGCUCUCUGAUGGCAUUUUGUACUAUUCCCUGUUUUAAAAAGAGAACCUGUCAUUGGUACAUACAUUGCAAACUGGCAAAAAUAGAAUGACCCCUUUGGGACUCCUUCAAUCCCGAUGCCUCCUCUCCCCGGCCUGGGAGCAGCAAACGCAUGCCAUGGGAGCAGAUGGUGGCUCCAGGUUAGAGGUCAGGCUCCACCACUAUCCCAUAAUGCUAUGAGAUGACCACCUCUUGGUAAAUUGCAUUGUAAGAAGAGGUGUGUGUCUUAAGUUUGGAACGGCGUGACCACUAGAUAAAGCAACCCUGAACUUUGGCACAUGCACAGAUAUUGGCUCCAGGUCAGAGGUCAGGCUCACACAUCUCGACUAUUGGUAGGUUUCAUCACAUGGCAUUGUGGGGAGGGGGUGUGUCUUCAGUGAACACAACACAUGCACAGAUAACUUCUCCCAUUCAGAGGUCAGGCUCGUCCUCCCCAUCCCAUAAUACUGGGCCAAGUUAGAAGUUAGGAUUACCCUUCACCCCCCACCAUCCCAUAAUACUACGAGAUGACCAUCUCUUGGUAGGUUUCAUCACAUUGCAUUGUGGUAAAGGGGGAGUGUCUUAUCCCCAAUUUGGGUCAAAGCAACCCCGAGCAUGGCACAUACACCGAUUUUGUUUAGGUCAAAGAUCAGGCUCAUCCUCCCCAUCCCGUAAAACUAGUCCAAGUUGGAGGUCAGGCAAGUUGGAGGUCAGAUGUUGGCUUCAGAUCAGGACCCACCAUCCCGUAGGACCCAUCUUCUUCAAUUUGGGUCAAAGCAACCCGGAGCAUGGCACAUAUACACAGAUAGGGCUCAUCCUUCCCAUCCCAUAAAACUAGGCCAAGUUGGAGGUCAGGCUUUCCCUCCCCCCACCAACCCGUAAUUUCUAUGAGAUGACCAUCUCUUGGUAGGUUUCUCUACACUGCAUUGUGGGCAUCCUGGUCAUGGCACAUGAUAUUGGCUUCAGAUCAGGGGCCAAUCUUGUUCCUCGUCCCAUAAUACUAGGCCGGGUCAGUGGUUAGGCUCUCCCUCCAAACUUGGCACAUGCACUAAUAUUGGUUCAAGGUAAGGGGUCAGGCGUGUCCUCCAUCCCAUAAUACUGUGGGACCAUUUCUUGGUAGGUUUCAUCACAUUGCAUUGUGGUAAAGGGGGAGUGUCUUAUCUCCAAUUUGGGUCAAAUCAACCCCGAGCAUGGCACAUACACCGAUAUUGUUUAUCGGUCAAAGUUUAGGCUCAUCGCAUAAAACUAGGCCAAGUUGGAGGUCAGGCUCACCCUUUUCCCCCACCAUUCCGUAAUUUCUAUGAGAUGACCGUUGGCCCAUUGCACUGUGGGCGUCCUGGUCAUGGCACAUGAUGUUGUCUUCAGAUCGGGGGCCAAUCUUGUUCCUCAUCCCGUAAUACUAGACCAGGUCAGUGGUUAGGCUCUCCCUCCAAACUUGGCAAAUGCACAGAUAUUGGUUCCAGAUAAGAGGUCAGGCGUGUCCUCCAUCCCAUAAUACUGUGGGACCAUCCUUUUUGGUAUGUUUCAUCACAGUGCAUUGUGUGGGAGAUGGUCUGUCUUCAUUUGGGAAUCACCGCUAUUGGCUCCAAGUCAGGCUUGUUACCCCGUUCUAUAAUACUUUGCCAGGUCAGAGGUCAGGCUUGUCCCACCCCCAUCAUCCCGUAAUUCUAUGAGAUGAUCGUCUCUUGGUAGAUUUACUCACAGUGCAUUGUGGGGUGGGGGCGUGUCUUGUCUUCUGAACAUGACAUAUGUACAGAUAUGGGCUGCAGGUCCAAGGCCAGGCCUGCCCCACCUAUAAUACCACGGGACCAUCUCUUGGUAGGUUUUGUCGCAUUGUAUUGUGGGGAGGGGGUGCGUCUUCAUUUAGGAACCAAAUAUAUUGGCUCCUGGUCAGAGGUCAGAGUGGUUCCCCAUCCCAUAAUACUAUGUCAGAUCAAUGGUUAAGCUGAUCCCUCCCCCAUCCUGUAAUACUAUGAGUUGACCAUCCCUUGGUAGGUUCCAUCACAUUACAUUGUGGGGAGGGGGGGCGGUUCUCUGUGGUAUUUGGGGGUCAAGGAGGGGAGGACUCUUCAGAAAUCGGGGUUCAUUGUCUCCUAUUAGC